CCUACGGGCGGCUGCAGUGAGGAAUAUUGGUCAAUGGACGAGAGUCUGAACCAGCCAAGUAGCGUGAAGGAUGACUGCCCUAUGGGUUGUAAACUUCUUUUAUAUGGGAAUAAAAUGUUCCACGUGUGGGAUUUUGUAUGUACCAUAUGAAUAAGGAUCGACUAACUCCGUGCCAGCAGCCGCGGUAAUACGGAGGAUCCGAGCGUUAUCCGGAUUUAUUGGGUUUAAAGGGAGCGUAGGUGGAUUGUUAAGUCAGUUGUGAAAGUUUGCGGCUCAACCAUAAAAUUGCAGUUGAAACUGGCAGUCUUGAGUACAGUAGAGGUGGGCGGAAUUCGUGGUGUAGCGGUGAAAUGCUUAGAUAUCACGAAGAACUCCGAUUGCGAAGGCAGUUCACUGGACUGCAACUGACACUGAGGCUCGAAAGUGUGGGUAUCAAACAGGAUUAGAUACCCCAGUAGUC
rnacentral:rRNA from 1 species